rnacentral:rRNA from 1 species
GGAAGUAAAAGUCGUAACAAGGUUUCCGUAGGUGAACCUGCGGAAGGAUCAUUACCGAGUGAGGGCCCUCUGGGUCCAACCUCCCACCCGUGUUUAUUUUACCUUGUUGCUUCGGCGGGCCCGCCUUAACUGGCCGCCGGGGGGCUUACGCCCCCGGGCCCGCGCCCGCCGAAGACACCCUCGAACUCUGUCUGAAGAUUGUAGUCUGAGUGAAAAUAUAAAUUAUUUAAAACUUUCAACAACGGAUCUCUUGGUUCCGGCAUCGAUGAAGAACGCAGCGAAAUGCGAUACGUAAUGUGAAUUGCAAAUUCAGUGAAUCAUCGAGUCUUUGAACGCACAUUGCGCCCCCUGGUAUUCCGGGGGGCAUGCCUGUCCGAGCGUCAUUGCUGCCCUCAAGCACGGCUUGUGUGUUGGGCCCCGUCCUCCGAUCCCGGGGGACGGGCCCGAAAGGCAGCGGCGGCACCGCGUCCGGUCCUCGAGCGUAUGGGGCUUUGUCACCCGCUCUGUAGGCCCGGCCGGCGCUUGCCGAUCAACCCAAAUUUUUAUCCAGGUUGACCUCGGAUCAGGUAGGGAUACCCGCUGAACUUAAGCAUAUCAAUAAGCGGAGGA